AAGUGAUGAUGGGGGCAUCUUCGAAGGAGCUCUUUGAAUCUCUCAUAUGCUUCAAAUAAUAUUUUCGACUCUCCUUGCUUAAACACUGAAGUUUUUUGCCUUAUAUU